rfam:Phaseolus vulgaris cultivar G19833 chromosome 9, whole genome shotgun sequence.
UACCCUGUGAGGAGGAUCUCCCUUCAUUGAUAGGAAGUGCCGUAUGACACUCUAAACGCAGCGCUGAUCAAAGGACUUGUUCUUUGUGGUUCUGUGUGUGUGAUUUGGAACGGGUCUCUGAGGGUU